AGGGUGACCGGCCACACUGGGACUGAGACACGGCCCAGACUCCUACGGGAGGCAGCAGUCGGGAAUAUUGGGCAAUGGGGGAAACCCUGACCCAGCAACGCCGCGUGAGUGAUGAAGGCCUUCGGGUCGUAAAGCUCUGUCCUUGGGGACGAAGAAAUGACGGUACCCAAGAAGAAAGCCACGGCUAACUACGUGCCAGCAGCCGCGGUAAUACGUAGGUGGCGAGCGCUGUCCGGAAUUACUGGGCGUAAAGGGCGAGUAGGCGGUUUUACAAGUCAGAUGUGAAAUGCAUGGGCUCAACCCAUGAACUGCAUUUGAAACUGUAAGACUUGAGUGCGGUAGAGGAAAGUGGAAUUCCCAGUGUAGCGGUGAAAUGCGUAGAUAUUGGGAGGAACACCAGUGGCGAAGGCGACUUUCUGGGCCGUAACUGACGCUGAGGCGCGAAAGCGAGGGGAGCAAACAGGAUUAGAUACCCUGGUAGUCCACGCCGUAAACGAUGGAUGCUAGGUGUGGGAGGUAUCGACCCCUUCCGUGCCGGAGCUAACGCAAUAAGCAUCCCGCCUGGGGAGUACGACCGCAAGGUUGAAACUCAAAGGAAUUGACGGGGGCCCGCACAAGCAGCGGAGCGUGUGGUUUAAUUCGAAGCAACGCGAAGAACCUUACCAAGGCUUGACAUCCCUCGCUAUCUGCGGAAACGCAGAGUUCCCUUCGGGGACGAGGAGACAGGUGGUGCACGGUUGUCGUCAGCUCGUGUCGUGAGAUGUUGGGUUAAGUCCCGCAACGAGCGCAACCCUUGUUCUUAGUUGCCAGCAUUAAGUUGGGCACUCUAGGGAGACUGCCGGUGAUAAACCGGAGGAAGGUGGGGAUGACGUCAAAUCAUCAUGCCCCUUAUGUCUUGGGCUACACACGCGCUACAAUGGUCUGUACAAAGGGAAGCGAAGUCGCGAGGCAGAGCGGAUCCCAUAAAACAGAUCUCAGUUCAGAUUGCAGGCUGAAACUCGCCUGCAUGAAGUCGGAGUUGCUAGUAAUCGCGAAUCAGAACGUCGCGGUGAAUGCGUUCCCGGGCCUUGUACACACCGCCCGUCACACCACGAAAGUCUGCAACACCCGAAGUCGGUGAGCUAACCGUAAGGAAGCAGCCGCCUAAGGUGGGGCCGAUGAUUGGGGUGAAGUCGUAACAAGGUAGCCGUAUCGGAAGGUGCGGCUG
rnacentral:rRNA from 1 species